rnacentral:rRNA from 1 species
GAUGAACGCUGGCGGCGUGCCUAAUACAUGCAAGUCGAGCGAACGGACGAGAAGCUUGCUUCUCUGAUGUUAGCGGCGGACGGGUGAGUAACACGUGGAUAACCUACCUAUAAGACUGGGAUAACUUCGGGAAACCGGAGCUAAUACCGGAGAAUAUUUUGAACCGCAUGGUUCAAAAGUGAAAGACGGUCUUGCUGUCACUUAUAGAUGGAUCCGCGCUGCAUUAGCUAGUUGGUAAGGUAACGGCUUACCAAGGCAACGAUGCAUAGCCGACCUGAGAGGGUGAUCGGCCACACUGGAACUGAGACACGGUCCAGACUCCUACGGGAGGCAGCAGUAGGGAAUCUUCCGCAAUGGGCGAAAGCCUGACGGAGCAACGCCGCGUGAGUGAUGAAGGUCUUCGGAUCGUAAAACUCUGUUAUUAGGGAAGAACAUAUGUGUAAGUAACUGUGCACAUCUUGACGGUACCUAAUCAGAAAGCCACGGCUAACUACGUG